rnacentral:lncRNA from 1 species
ACCAAUUUAGUCCCUUUUCACUUUUCACACAUAUCAAGAUAAUGCAUUUAAUCUUCUUUAAAAGAAAUACUAAGUUUUAUGUUUUUAUUUUUUAUACUCUUAUUUAUUAUUUUCACAUUUAAGUGAAACAUUAAAUAAGGUAAUUUAGUAAAAUAAUAUUUUUAUAUUAUAUUAAUUAAAAAAAUAGAUUAUCUUUGGAACAUCUCAAAAAAAAAAAAAUAAGGGACUAAUCUAUAUAUUAUAUAAAAAGCCAGUUUAACAGAAUCUAACCUACCGUCAUUUUUUAACAUAAUAUUCCACAAGUUUAACGUCUGUUUGUUCCGUAAACAGAUUCAACAAAUUAAAUAUAUUAUAUUCUUUGUAAUGCAUAUCCAAUAAACCACGAUCAUUAAUGGAGUUC